rnacentral:lncRNA from 1 species
GCGUAUGCGCAUGCUCCGCUCACAGGGUCGGGCUCUGGGCGGCGGAGACCAGCCGCCUGUGCUCCAGUUCCCGGUGAGCCUCGGUACUGUGGCAGCAGUCAGUGUGUCUGGCGGGUGUCGGCGUGAAGCGGGGCUGGGCCAGCGGGAGGUAGCUCUGUGGGAGUGGAAGGCCUGUAUUUCUCUACCUGGACCGCACGCUCCUCGCGCAAGGAGGGUAGAGCUCAAGAUGCUUGGGAUUUGCUUUACAUUCUAAGUGGAUUUGGAGAAGAGACAAUAAAGAAUAAGCAGUCAAUUCUAUAAUAUAUUUAGAAGGAGAAAAGUGCCAAGGAGGAAUGAAAAAGUAGAACAAGGUUUUAUGGCAAUUGGAUAUAUUCCGACGAAGCUUGCGGGUUUUGACUGGACAUGUUUGUCAGGGAGAUGCCUGUAUAUUUUGUGCAUUGAAGACGAUAUUUGCACAGUUCCAACACAGUCGAGAAAAAGCACUUCCCUCAGAUAACAUAAGGCAUGCUCUUGCAGAAAGUUUCAAAGAUGAGCAGCGAUUUCAACUUGGCCUUAUGGAUGAUGCUGCGGAGUGCUUUGAAAAUAUGUUGGAGAGGAUUCAUUUUCACAUAGUGCCAAGCAGAGAUGCAGACAUGUGUACCUCUAAAUCUUGUAUCACUCACCAGAAGUUUGCUAUGACUCUGUAUGAACAGUGUGUGUGUCGUAGCUGUGGAGCAUCGUCAGAUCCUCUACCUUUUACAGAAUUUGUGCGGUACAUUUCUACAACAGCCUUAUGCAAUGAGGUUGAAAGAAUGUUGGAAAGGCAUGAACGCUUUAAACCUGAAAUGUUUGCAGAAUUGCUACAAGCAGCAAAUACAACAGAUGACUAUAGGAAA